AUGCGCCGAUCCCUCUUUGUGGAAAUUGUUCAAGCUUGCGAGGCGAAUUGUCGGUAUUUUACUCAAAGAAGAAAUGUUGCGGGCUUAAAGGGAUUUAGUGCAUAUCAAAAAAUCUCCGCAGCUAUGCGGGUGAUUGCAUAUAGCAUUCCGGCUGACUAUGCCGAUGAGUACCUUCACAAUGGUGAAGAUACCACAAUUGAGUCGGUGCGUAGAUUUGCCAAAGUGAUCAUCUAUGUCUUUGAUCCUGAAUAUCUUCAGGCACCCAACAAGGAUGACACAAAGAAACUGAUGGCAUCUAAUGAGAGGAGAGGUUGGCAAUAA
rnacentral:rRNA from 1 species